UACGUAGGGUCCGAGCGUUAAUCGGAAUUACUGGGCGUAAAGCGUGCGUAGGUGGUUUGUUAAGUCUGCUGUGAAAUCCCCGGGCUCAACCUGGGAAUGGCAGUGGAUACUGGCAAGCUAGAGUGCGGUAGAGGGUAGUGGAAUUCCCGGUGUAGCGGUGAAAUGCGUAGAGAUCGGGAGGAACACCAGUGGCGAAGGCGGCUCACUGGACCGGAACUGACGCUGAGGCGCGAAAGCGUGGGGAGCAAACAGG
rnacentral:rRNA from 1 species